UCCCUGGUGGCUCAGAGGUUAAAGCAUCUGCCCGCAAUGCGGGAGACCUGGGUUCGAUCCCUGGGUGGGGAA
rnacentral:tRNA from 1 species